rnacentral:sRNA from 1 species
AUUAAAUUUACACUGAUUUAAAGGUUUUUGGUUGUUUAAAAAAAAAAUUCAACAAACUAAACUUGAAAUAACUUUACUGUUUAUAGGGAACAUUAUUACAGCAGCCAGAGGAUCAUGCAGCUACUACAUCACUUUCUUGGAAACGUGUAAAAGGAUGCAAAUCUAGUGAACAGAAUGGAAUGGAGCAAAAGACAAUUAUUUUAAUACCUUCUGAUUUAGCAUGUAGACUGCUGGGGCAAUCAAUGGAUGAAAGUGGAUUACCACAGCUGACCAGUUAUGAUUGUGAAGUUAAUGCUCCUAUACAAGGCAGCAGAAACCUACUGCAGGGUGAAGAAUUACUCAGAGCUUUGGAUCAAGUUAACUGAGCUUUUUCAUAAUUUCAUUCCUUUUUUUGGACACUGGUGGCUCAUUACCUAAAGCAGUCUAUUUAUAUUUUCUACAUCUAAUUUUAGAAGCCUGGCUACAAUACUGCACAAACUUGGUUAGUUCAAUUUUGAUCCCCUUUCUACUUAAUUUACAUUAAUGCUCUUUUUUAGUAUGUUCUUUAAUGCUGGAUCACAGACAGCUCAUUUUCUCAGUUUUUUAGUAUUUAAACCAUUGCAUUGCAGUAGUAUCAUUUUUAAAAAUGCACCUUUUUAUUUAUUUAUUUUUGGCUAGGGAGUUUAUCCCUUUUUCGAAUUAUUUUUAAGAAGAUGCCAAUAUAAUUUUUGUAAGAAGGCAGUAACCUUUCAUCAUGAUCAUAAGCAGUUGAA